GUGCGAGACCGAUAGCGAACAAGUACCGUGAGGAAAAGAUGAAAAGAACUUUGAAAAGAGAGUUAAAGAGUACCUGAAACUGCUGAAAGGGAAGCGAAUCGUAUCCAGUGUCUAUAAUCUGCGGCAUAUUUCAUUGGCGGCGGUGCGCGUGCUUUUGCGUCGGAAGCGGCUUUUGUUGCUCUGUGCUUUUGCUGUGCGUGGUGUUGCUGGUGCCCUGUGUUGCGGUGGGACGUCAGAGCCAGUUUGUAUGCUGCGGGAAAUGGCUGCCGAGGAGGUAGGUCGAGAUUUCGGUCUUGGCUGUUAUAUCUUGGUGGUUUGUUGUCGUGGUUGAGACUGAGGUGCCUACAAUGUGCUUUUGAGCGCGCCGGGUUCUCAUUUGGUGGACUGUUUGGAUAGCUUGCUAUGCUUGUGGUUUUUUCAUCGGGUGAUUGAGUCUGGUGGUAACUUGUUGCUGUUCGGGACUUUGA
rnacentral:rRNA from 2 species